CCUACGGGAGGCAGCAGUGGGGAAUAUUGCACAAUGGAGGGAACUCUGAUGCAGCGACGCCGCGUGAACGAUGAAGGCUUUCGYGUCGUAAAGUUCUGUUUUAAGGGAAGACYAWSUGACGGUACRUUAAGAGCAAGCCACGGCUAACUACGUGCCAGCAGCCGCGGUAAU
rnacentral:rRNA from 1 species